rnacentral:rRNA from 1 species
ACUCCUACGGGAGGCAGCAGUGGGGAAUUUUGGACAAUGGGCGAAAGCCUGAUCCAGCAAUGCCGCGUGAGUGAAGAAGGCCUUCGGGUUGUAAAGCUCUUUUGUCAGGGAAGAAACGGUGAAAGCUAAUAUCUUUUGCUAAUGACGGUACCUGAAGAAUAAGCACCGGCUAACUACGUGCCAGCAGCCGCGGUAAUACGUAGGGUGCAAGCGUUAAUCGGAAUUACUGGGCGUAAAGCGUGCGCAGGCGGUUUUGUAAGUCUGAUGUGAAAUCCCCGGGCUCAACCUGGGAAUUGCAUUGGAGACUGCAAGGCUAGAAUCUGGCAGAGGGGGGUAGAAUUCCACGUGUAGCAGUGAAAUGCGUAGAUAUGUGGAGGAACACCGAUGGCGAAGGCAGCCCCCUGGGUCAAGAUUGACGCUCAUGCACGAAAGCGUGGGGAGCAAACAGGAUUAGAAACCCUUGUAGUCCCGU